AGGGGGGGCCUUUUGGUUUUAUCGGAAGAACGUGGAAAAUUUCGUGAGUAUCGGGAUUUUCUGCGCGCUGUUCAGGGGUUUUGUGUAAACGUAUAGGUGCUUAUAUCUCAAACCAUUUUCCUCCAUUAAUAAUUUCAACAUAACAUGCGGACUAGGCACAAAACUUGAUAAAAGUCUAGCUCGUGGUGAUCCUAGAAUAAAUAAAUAAACCAUUCCUGAUCAAUCAAAUAAUCUUCAAGCAUGCUAUUUUGAUCAUUCAAAAUUAAAGAAACUUUCGUUCGAAGUUCAAGUAAGCGGGCCAACGUUUUGCUUCGUGACAACCAUCGUACUUCUGUGUGUAAUAAAAAUGACUUGUGAACAGCUCCCAUAUCUUCUCACAGUAUUUUAGCUUUAGGAUCGUUGGCUGGUGGAGUAUCGAGUUUGCAAUCAGCUGUUAUUAAAGUUUUAAAAAUAAAAAUGUUCAAAUAGCUGACUCUUACGCUACAUGGAACAACGUCGGAAGUCACAUCAAGUUUUUUUCUACCUAUAGAAUUUACUGGAGCACCAGAUGUUGCGUUGUUAGGAUUUUACGGAUGUAAUUCAAUACUAGAUAUUGAAAAGUCAAACAAUUCAUUCAUUUUGAUAAAUACAAAUAAUGAGCCACUUGAAAAUAACAUAGAAAUUUUCCUGAGGGCACUUAUGAAUUUGAAAAAAUUAAUUAAAAAUUCAAAUAUCAAUACUAAUAAGACAACCGAGCAAACCACGAGGUUGUAAUGUAUACAGCUGAAUGAACUCAGCGACCGGUGGUAUUCACGCGGGUUUGCUAACGGUCGUGGUUUUAUUUUGUCUCAAGUCUUUGGCUAUGUCGAACACGAUGAAUAAGGAUGACCGACAACCAGCAGCAAGGAGAAGCCCGCCCGUUCCGCCCAUCACGUCGAUUAGCCGCCGAAACCGAAACCAUGAUGCGCUAACAGGCAAGACGACUGAUGCGGCAAGCAGCGGCAUUAUUUGGGGAAACCUACGAGGAGUUGCCGAAUUGGCAAAAUAAAUCACAUAAUAAAAUUAUUUUAAUAUGAAUAACAAUUUUCUUAGCGUUGAUAAUGGUAACAUUGUUUCCGAAAUAUGUAUCCGCGACUUUUCAUUAAUUUUUUUGUUGCUUUGAGUUUAAUAUUUUUAAUAUUUUUUAGUUUUUUAAAUUAAUAAUAUUUUUAAUAUAGUUUUAA